CCUACGGGAGGCAGCAGUGAGGAAUAUUGGUCAAUGGGCGCGAGCCUGAACCAGCCAAGUCGCGUGAGGGAAGACGGUCCUAUGGAUUGUAAACCUCUUUUGUCGGGGAGCAAAAGACGCCACGCGUGGCGUUCCGAGAGUACCCGAAGAAAAAGCAUCGGCUAACUCCGUGCCAGCAGCCGCGGUAAUACGGAGGAUGCGAGCGUUAUCCGGAUUUAUUGGGUUUAAAGGGUGCGCAGGCGGAAGAUCAAGUCAGCGGUAAAAUUGAGAGGCUCAACCUCUUCGAGCCGUUGAAACUGGUGUUCUUGAGUGAGUGAGAGGGAUGCGGAAGGCGAGGUGUAGCGGUGAAAUGCAUAGAUAUCACGCAGAACUCCGAUUGCGAAGGCAGCAUACCGGCGCUCAACUGACGCUCAUGCACGAAAGUGUGGGUAUCGAACAGGAUUAGAUACCCGGGUAGUC
rnacentral:rRNA from 1 species